UACGUAGGGGGCGAGCGUUGUCCGGAAUUACUGGGCGUAAAGGGCGUGUAGGCGGUUUUUUAAGUUAGAAGUGAAAACUCGGGGCUUAACCCCGAGAGUGCUUCUAAAACUGGAAGACUUGAGUGCAGGAGAGGAAAGUAGUAUUCCUGGUGUAGCGGUGAAAUGCGUAGAUAUCAGGAGGAAUACUCGUGGCGAAGGCGGCUUUCUGGCCUGUAACUGACGCUGAGGCGCGAAAGCGUGGGGAGCAAACAGG
rnacentral:rRNA from 1 species